rnacentral:rRNA from 1 species
UGAUCCAGCCAUGCCGCGUGAGUGAUGAAGGCCUUCGGGUUGUAAAGCUCUUUCACCGGUGAAGAUAAUGACGGUAACCGGAGAAGAAGCCCCGGCUAACUUCGUGCCAGCAGCCGCGGUAAUACGAAGGGGGCUAGCGUUGUUCGGAUUUACUGGGCGUAAAGCGCACGUAUGCUACGUUGUUUGUCACGUGUGCAGUCCCAGGGCUCAGCCCAGGAACUGCCUUUGAGGCUGGACGUCUUGACUGCAGUAGAGGUGGGUGGACUUCAAUGUGUGGAGGUGAA